rnacentral:rRNA from 1 species
GACGAACGCUGGCGGCGUGCCUAAUACAUGCAAGUCGAACGAGUGGCGGACGGGUGAGUAAUGUCUGGGAAACUGCCUGAUGGAGGGGGAUAACUACUGGAAACGGUAGCUAAUACCGCAUACCAUCAGAUGUGCCCAGAUGGGAUUAGCUAGUCGGUGGGGUAACGGCUCACCUAGGCGACGAUCCCUAGCUGGGCUGAGAGGAUGACCAGCCACACUGGAACUGAGACACGGUCCAGACUCCUACGGGAGGCAGCAGUGGGGAAUAUUGCACAAUGGGCGCAAGCCUGAUGCAGCCAUGCCGCGUGUGUGAAGAAGGCCUUCGGGUUGUAAAGCACUUUCAGCGGGGAGGCGUUACCCGCAGAAGAAGCACCGGCUAACUCCGUGCCAGCAGCCGCGGUAAUAC